AAAGCCAAUAAAGGAGGAGAAAGGGGACUGUGAUAAUGAAGGGCCCGCUAGGACUAUCACGGCUUCUAACGCGGAAUUGUGACCGGGAGUGGGGGAGGAGAAAAGAACCGAAGCUGCCGAGCAAACUCCUCUGAAGGAACUUUGACUUUGCAGCAUUUCUGCUACCCUUCUUCCUUCCUUAGAGAUGGAAGGGGCUGGCACAGUACCAGGGCAGACCCAAGACACUUCGCUAUGGAAGCAACAAAUGAUGUCCCUCUUCUAAUUUUAGCUGCUGUAUACCAAGUUGUUGUUUUCACUGAGCUAUUCACUACAACCCAUCAUCAUGGUGAAUCACGGGAUCUUCUGAAGACACAAGUGGUGCCUUGCAGACUGGAUGGCUAUCCUCACACAGACAGCUGUUUUCUUGACUUUCUAAAACAGAAAAAAAGGGAGUAACAAAAAGAUUAGGGCAGUAGCCACUUUCUUUGAGUCAGGACUUCUUUCCAAACCUACGUUUGAUCCACCUGUGCUGGGUAGAUCACAAUGGCAAUUUCACCCAGUGGUAUGUUAUCUUGCUUGAGGUGACCACUGGUAUUGGUUAAAAAGAAAAGUUAAAGGUUUAUUUACUUCUAGCAUACAUAGCCAUCUUUCCGAGUGGGAGCUCAGGAUGGCACAUCCUUACACAUGUAGGGCAGGACAAAGGAGAGAUGCAGUCUGAGAAGGAGGAAAGGCUCUAAAAACCGAGAAAAACAAAUAGAGAGGAACACAAGGACCACUGUUUUCUGUCUAGCACCCCCCACUGGUUUUGACAUUGUUGUCUCCCAUUCCAAAAGUUCUUUCCUUGCUUUCCUGCUGUGCUCACCUUGGCCUGCUUUGCUUGAGUUUUGACUUCUUGAAAAUACUAACCUCUGAACUUGACUCACAGUGGAGGAUGGAGGAGGUAGUCUGAACUCUGGAGACAGAGGCUUAAAAGGCCUCAAUCUAUUCCCAACCCUUGUUGGAGCAAUAUGCUGAUCCGACAAUAUUGCCUUGCCUCCACGCCAGCCCCUUUCUCCAUGGAAUCUGGCAUCAGACUAGAGAAUAUGACACACACACCCUUGGGGUGCUUUUUCUAAAACGUUUUUAUACUUCUGUAAAUCUUUAAGUUUCCCUAAGCCUGCUGAUACCUCCUUCUUGGAUUGGAUAGUGCCAUUUUGCCUACAUAAGGAUUAGCAAAGAAUUGGUUUGCUAUUAGUUUAUAGGAUGAUUAUGCUUAUUUCCAGUUUUGCCUUUAAAAAAAGCUGUAAGAAGAGAAGAAUUAGGGCUGAUAGGAUGGGUAGGCUAUAGCUCAUGUUUCAAACAUUGAUGACGUUCUCCAGGAAAUAGUGUGUUAGCCUUGAACCUGGAAGGCUUGUCUUCCAAAAUAUAGCUACGGUAUGUUCAGUGGGGGGGCUCUUGAUUCUUGCCUAAUGAACAUAGCAAUGAUUUUAUCUCAUGGUGAGCAUGAA